rnacentral:rRNA from 1 species
CAGCCGCCACGGUAAUACGUAGGGUGCAAGCGUUAAUCGGAAUUACUGGGCGUAAAGCGUGCGCAGGCGGUUUGUUAAGACAGAUGUGAAAUCCCCGGGCUCAACCUGGGAACUGCAUUUGUGACUGGCAGGCUAGAGUAUGGCAGAGGGGGGUGGAAUUCCGCGUGUAGCAGUGAAAUGCGUAGAUAUGCGGAGGAACACCGAUGGCGAAGGCAGCCCCCUGGGCCUGUACUGACGCUCAUGCACGAAAGCGUGGGGAGCAAACAGGAUUAGAUACCCCGGUAGUCCCUGUCUCUUAUAC